AUGGAGAUGUCCUAGAGAUAUCUGAUGAGAUAUCUAUUUUUUUCCAGCAGUGGAUAUUAGAUUCUGCAUGCCCCCAUCAUAUAUGUUGCAGAGAGUAGUUUGACUCCUUGAAGAACAGUGAGGGCACUGUAUAUUUGUCGGAUGGAUCGAGCUGUGCGAUCAGAGAUAUCGGGAUGGUCAGCUGGAAAGCACAUGAUGGUGCAGUGAGAAGAUUGGGGG
rnacentral:lncRNA from 1 species